rnacentral:rRNA from 1 species
AUUGAACGCUAGCGGCGUGCCUAACACAUGCAAGUCGAGCGGUAACAGGUGUAGCAAUACAUGCUGACGAGCGGCGAACGGGUGAGUAAUGCUUCGGAAUCUACCUUAUGGUGGGGAAUAACUAGCCGAAAGGUUAGCUAAUACCGCAUACGUCCUACGGGAGAAAGCAGGGGAUCGCAAGACCUUGCGCCAAAAGAUGAGCCGAAGUCGGAUUAGCUAGUUGGUAGGGUAACGGCCUACCAAGGCGACGAUCCGUAGCUGGUCUGAGAGGACGACCAGCCACACUGGGACUGAGACACGGCCCAG